GAUGAACGCUGGCGGCGUGCCUAAUACAUGCAAGUCGAGCGAACGGACGAGAAGCUUGCUUUUCUGAUGUUAGCGGCGGACGGGUGAGUAACACGUGGAUAACCUACCUAUAAGACUGGGAUAACUUCGGGAAACCGGAGCUAAUACCGGAUAAUAUUUUGAACCGCAUGGUUCAAAAGUGAAAGACGGUCUUGCUGUCACUAAUAGAUGGAUCCGCGCUGCAUUAGCUAGUUGGUAAGGUAACGGCCUACCAAGGCAACGAUGCAUAGCCGACCUGAGAGGGUGAUCGGCCACACUGGAACUGAGACACGGUCCAGACUCCUACGGGAGGCAGCAGUAGGGAAUCUUCCGCAAUGGGCGAAAGCCUGACGGAGCAACGCCGCGUGAGUGAUGAAGGUCUUCGGAUCGUAAAGCUCUGUUAUUAGGGAAGAACAGAUGUGUAAGUAACUGUGCACAUCUUGACGGUACCUAAUCAGAAAGCCACGGCUAACUACGUG
rnacentral:rRNA from 1 species